rnacentral:lncRNA from 1 species
GGGGCGGAGCGGGGCGGGCGGGCCACCAUUAGAAGGCGGCCGCGGCGGAGAGAGGAGCUCCUGGAGCGAAGCUGUGGCGCGUCACCGGGCCGGACCGGCAGCGCGCUCUGCCGCGAUUCGAGAGGAAAAGUCUAACAGUCUACUGUAAGCGUGUAAAAGCUCAAGACUGCCUUCACUCAGUCUGUGAUUAUAAUUGACUCUGCUUAUUGUGAUGGCCACACCAGGGAUGAUCGCGGAGAGAAGCAAU